GAUGAACGCUAGCGGCAGGCCUAAUACAUGCAAGACGAACGGUAAGUUUGAUAGCAAUAUUGAACCUAGAGUGUCGUAAGGGUGCGUAACACGUAUGCAAUCUACCCUCAACAGGAGGAUAGCUCCCCGAAAGGGGAAUUAACACUCCAUAAGAUCACAGGAUGGCAUCAUUCAGUGAUUAAAACUCCGGUGGUUGAGGAUGAGCAUGCGCAUGAUUAGUUAGUUGGCGGGGUAAUGGCCCACCAAGACGAUGAUCAUUAGGGGAACUGAGAGGUUGAUCCCCCACACUGGCACUGAGAUACGGGCCAGACUCCUACGGGAGGCAGCAGUAGGGAAUAUUGGACAAUGGGUGCGAGCCUGAUCCAGCCAUGCCGCGUGCAGGAAACGGCCGUUCCUGGGGUUGUAAACUGCUUUUCGGACGGAACGAAACCGGUCUUUCGUAAGGUAAGAAGGCCCGAGGUAGACGGUACCGUAAGGAAUUAACGACGACCGGCCUAACGUACGUGCCCGA
rnacentral:rRNA from 1 species